CAGUGAGAAACUUCAUACAGGAGUGAUGCUCAAAAUCGGGGAGAAAAAGUCACCUGAAUUCUUGGGCCAAAGGCAGCAACUGUGACUAUUGACUAUGGGUGUGAGGUAUAGGGUCCAGCCACUCAAGCCAGGACUCUGCCAAAAGCUGGGCAUGAUGUUGGGUUCCAAGGACUGAGGUGGCCUCAGGGUCUAGCCCAGCAAAGACUCAGGAGGGUUACCUGUUAGUCUUGAGUAUAUAUGAAGAGAUAUGUGUUGUGUUGCAUGUGGGUCCAAAAAGAAUUUUCCAGAUUCAUAGCGGGCUGAAAAGAAAGAAGAGUUUAUUGAGAUAAGAGAUGCUGCUAGUACAGUGGGACGACUUCUUGAUGAUUGAGGAGAGCCAACCCUGGGCACGUGGUUGUGUCUCUUUUGAUAACCCAGGGAGAAAGGAGAAGUCUUAUGAUACACCUGCUGACCUGCUGAUUAGUUGGGAAAAGGGGGUCUUAUGAUACACUUGCUGGUUGGUUGGGGGCCUAUAAGGCCCCUGUAGGGACAGCGUGAGGAGUGGGCCACAUACCUUUCCUAGUAGGGGGCAGGAAGAAGUUGGCCAGAUUGCUCAAGGUGGGAGAGGGGGCAUUACAGUGAGACUGGUGGGGUGUUGAUAAGGGUCUGGUAAUUUUUGUCUUGACCAGAGGCUUUGAGUUCUGUCCCCUUGAAGUCCCACAAGAUGUUCACAGUUAGGAAAUCUGAAUGGAGAUUAUUCAUCGUAUCCAUCUUUUAAUUUUCUUAUAGGUUUGAAAAGUUUCAAAACAGCAGUAGGAUGGGUGGGAAUGGGCAGAAUGUGAGCUAAAAUAAAGGGCAGGAGCUCUUGUAUGAGAGACCAAGACCCCAGGGCCAAGGUCAGAGGGGGUGCUUGGUGAACACGUGUCCCAGUGGGCACAUGGAGAAAGAGGAUGAGGCUUAGAUUCUUUUGUGUCUCAGGGCAGAAGGCAGUCGCAAGAGAGCAAAGUGAUAGGCAAGAGAUAGAUUUAUUAAGAUAGGAUGCUUGCGAGGGAUACAAGUGGGCAGGCAGAGAAGCUCUGCCCCCGGAUGAGGUGGGCUCCAUCCAUCUUUAUAAUCCAGGGAAAGUGAGGAGGGGGAAAAGACCACCUCCUUUUUCACUCUUCAGGUAGACAUCAGGCUUCAUCCUCAACCCCUGCUUCGUAUUAUGCAAGAGAGUAUUUGACCCAGUGAGGUCAACCUAGGACUGUCUUGGCGCUUAUUCAGAUCAGCAGCAGGGUGGUAACACAUGCGAAGGUACGUUGGAUCAGCUCAGGUUUCUGUAUAAUGUCAUCUCUCCCUUAAAUUCCUGUCCUUGGGCCUGAGGAUCAUGAUCUCGCUGAACUUGAAUGUGGGCCUGAUCCUGAACUUGAAUGAGGCCUACCUCAUGCUUUUGUGUAUGGUUUUAUAGUUAAGCAAGCCUGCUUCAUUCCAGGACAUUCUGCUGGCUUUCUUGAGUGAUUAUUCACUUACAGUGGUCUCCCAGUGUGCCCGAGGUUUCCCUCUCAACCAUCCCCUACUGGGUGGGACGUCUACACCUACCUGUGUAACUCUCCUACUCUAUCCCUAUCAGUUCCAUGGCUGUGUCCUGCCUGCCUGCCUCUUUACAGAUGUCUCUGGGCUGAAGGGCCCAACAGAACGAACUUGGGAAGGCAGAGGCUAAUGUUGCCUCUGAUGACCUUAUUAGAGUUUUGCUUUAAAAAAAAAUCGUUUAAGACUUUUUCAACAGAUAAACCCAUGUGCACACACGAUAUAAAUAGGUUUUCCAUAUCCCAGUCAAGUUGAAGAAGGUUAGAGGGUUUCUCGCCCGACAGAGCUGCUUAUCUUAAUAUCAAAGGGUGGCUUUUUCAGUGAAUUUAUGCAAACUUCUUUAAACCGGUGCUGUGCCAACCAUUUCCCCUCGAGUAGAAGCAGUCAUUAGUGGCCCUAGAAGUUGAGAAUCAGCCGUUCUCUGUCUGCCUCAGGCCAUUUGUUUGUAGAAGAGCAGUUGUUUGAGAAAAUUAGGUAAUUUGGUUACCAAGAGACACUGCCCUUUACCCUCUCUAAUUACCCUCUUUUGGAAGAAGAAUUGCUUAGUGUUUGAGACAACUGUGUGUGUUCAUGGUCUUUGGGGAGCUGUUUACAAUAUUCCCAUAAAACAGGUCAAACAGCUUUACUGGCAUCUUCCAGAAGUGCUGUCAAUUGUAGUUAAUACCAGCAGCAUUAGUAACGUGAAGAUGUGAUAAAUAAACUAAUAUAAUAGACUUUAUUUUAAUGAUCCAGAAAAAAAGACUGCAUGUAGACUGAUGUUCAAACACAGUUGUUUCAAGACCACACAUCCAUGUUUUUGUUCUUUUUCAU
rnacentral:lncRNA from 1 species